rnacentral:rRNA from 1 species
CCUACGGGAGGCAGCAGUGAGGAAGAUUGGUCAAUGGACGAGAGUCUGAACCAGCCAAGUAGCGUGAAGGAUGACUGCCCUAUGGGUUGUAAACUUCUUUUAUAUGGGAAUAAAAUGUUCCACGUGUGGGAUUUUGUAUGUACCAUAUGAAUAAGGAUCGGCUAACUCCGUGCCAGAAGCCGCGGUAAUACGGAGGUGCCGGGCGUUAUCCGGAUUUAUUGGGUUUAAAGGGAGCUUAGGUGGAUUGUUAAGUCAGUUGUGUAUGUUUGCGGCUCAACCGUAAAAUUGCAGUUGAAACUGGCAGUCUUGAGUACAGUAUAGGUGGGCGGAAUUCGUGGUGUAGCGGUGAAAUGCUUAGAUAUCACGAAGAACUCCGAUUGCGAAGGCAGCUCACUGGACUGCAACUGACACUGAGGCUCGAAAGUGUGGGUAUCAAACAGGAUUAGAUACCCUUGUAGUC